AGAGUUUGAUCCUGGCUCAGGAUGAACGCUGGCGGCGUGCUUAACACAUGCAAGUCGAACGAAGCUCUUGAACGGAGGAUUCGUCUGAAGUUCAAAGAUGACUUAGUGGCGGACGGGUGAGUAACGCGUGGGUAACCUGCCGUAUGCAGGGGGACAACAGUUGGAAACGACUGCUAAUACCGCAUAAGGCGCACGGGAAGGCAUCUUUCAGUGUGAAAAAGAUUUAUCGGCAUACGAUGGACCCGCGUCUGAUUAGAUAGUUGGUGGGGUAACGGCCCACCAAGUCGACGAUCAGUAGCCGGCCUGAGAGGGUGAACGGCCACAUUGGGACUGAGACACGGCCCAAACUCCUACGGGAGGCAGCAGUGGGGAAUAUUGCACAAUGGGGGAAACCCUGAUGCAAGCGACGCCGCGUGAGUGAAGAAGUAUUUCGGUAUGUAAAGCUCUAUCAGCAGGGAAGAAAAUGACGGUACCUGACUAAGAAGCCCCGGCUAACUACGUGCCAGCAGCAGC
rnacentral:rRNA from 1 species